GGUCAAUCUUAAAUGCUGUAUAGGAGGAUCUCAUUGAGAAGAUAUCAUUUGAGCAAAGAUGUAAAGCAAGGGAGGGAAUGAGUCAGUGGCUACAUAGCGAGAGUGUCCUAGGCAGAGGAAACAGCUUCUACAAAAGCCCUGAAGCAAGAGAAUGUUUGAAGUGUUCAAGAAUAAACAGGAGAUGCAGAAUGAAUGGAAUUGAGAGUGAGUGAGGCAGUCGGAUACAAGAGAGACUAAUAUGGGGCAGCACUGAAGACUGCUGACAGCAGCCACAUGAGUGAGCUCAGAGUGGACACAACAGCCCCUUCAGAGGCUGCAGGGAUGGCAGACAGCCUGACUGCAAUGUCGUGAAAGAUGCUGAGGCAGAACCAUGCAGCAAAGUCAUUCCCAGAUUCCUGACUCUCAGAAAAUGGUUUCUUGGGAGCCAUCAUUAAGGUGAAGAACAGAGAAG
rnacentral:lncRNA from 1 species